AUGCACAUUGUUAUACUCAAGCUUUAGGGCUAUUAGUAUCAUUUCUAUCUGGGAAGGAGCGUGCUAUGAAGAUGUUUGUGAUAAGGAAUGUUAAGCCAGCAGGGUAGACUAGACAAACAUAGGACAGCAUAGUAGAUAUGUUGUGUGUAGUAUGUUGUUAUAAUGUCAACAUUAACAAGUCAUGUUGCUCGACGUGGGGGGAAGACAACAAUUUAUUUAUGGGUAUUGCGUUGUAUGAUCUCUAUAGGUUCGGGAAAGUAAUAGCCUGAAGUAUUCCCUGUUUGUCCCUGCAAGGGGGUAAUGUGACGCUGGUGAAUGGCUCUUGAUCCAAGAAAUCGACGUUACUUUUUCAUUCCGCGGAUCAAACUUGAUUGCCUGACGUUCCCAAGAGCCAAUAUGACGAGUUUAGCAGCACUGCAUGACCCUUUGGGGUUUAACGCUUGAAAUGAAGAGGACCUCUUAAAAGCACACAAGGUAAUAAACAAGUCCCUAACCUUGAUCAUCAUUCUAGGGUGAGAGAACAAUGUCUAACAUCCACCUGGGUCUUCCCUACCCUGGUGGAGUUGUAGAUCACUCCAGCAACCUGGCACAUGACAUUGGUGCUCUUUAUCUUAAUGAUGAAUAUAGUGAUGUCACUCUGCAAGUCAAUGGACAAACUUUUCGUGCACACAAAGUCAUAUUAGCUGCAAGAAGUCAGUAUUUCAGAGCGCUUCUUUUUGGUGGGUUGCGUGAAUCUCGUCAAGCUGAGGUAGAAAUAAAAGAUACCAAUUUAACAGCUUUCAACGUUCUUUUGAAAUAUAUAUAUACUGGAUGGGUCAGUCUCAGUUCUGAAAAGGAAGAGACUGUAUUAGAAAUCCUUGGGCUUGCUCACCAGUAUGGCUUCGAAGAUUUAGAAUCUGCAGUCUGUGAAUACUUAAAGGAUGCUUUAUGUAUUGCAAAUAUUUGUGUUAUAUAUGAUAUGGCAUCUCUUUACAACCUUACAAACCUGAAGACAGUGUGUGAAGAUUUUAUGGAUAAAAAUGCCUUACCAAUACUGAAUCAUGAAUCAUUUUACUCCCUUACACCAUCGGCAUUGAAGGCAAUUAUUGGGAGGGAUUCAUUUUGUGCACCAGAAGUCCAUAUAUUCCAAGGUGUUCACACAUGGGUUGAGCGGAACUCAGAUCUGACUCAGGAGCAAACACAAGAGAUUCUCGCUAAGAUACGAUUGCCUCUCAUCAGUCUCUCUGAUCUCCUAAAUGUUGUUCGACCAACCUCAUUAAUAUCUCCUGAUCAAAUUUUGGAUGCAAUAAAAGCCAAAAAUGAGUCCAGGGACAUGGACCUCCAGUAUCGAGGCUAUUUAAUGCCAGGAGAAAAUGUAGCUGUCCCUAGUAAAGGCGCCCAUGUACUUCAAGGAGAGAUGCGAGCAAAUCUUUUAGAUGGAAAUGUUUCAACUUAUGAUAUGGAUCGUGGCUUUACAAGACACCCUAUAGAUGAUAAUAAUGGUCAAGGUAUACUAAUCAAACUGGGAAUGCAAUGUAUUAUCAAUCACAUGAGAAUGAUGCUUUGGGACAAAGAUCAAAGAGGAUACUCUUAUUAUAUUGAAGUCUCAAUGGAUCAGAAAGACUGGGUUCGAGUUGUCGACCACACUCGCUAUCACUGCCGCUCUUGGCAGUAUCUUUACUUUAGUCCAAGAGUUGUCAGGUAUAUUCGCAUUGUUGGGACAAACAACACUGUUAAUCGUGUUUUUCAUGUGGUGGCCUUUGAAGCUUAUUUCUCUAAACAUGAAGUGGAACUGCAUAAAGGACUUGUAGUUCCAACAGAAAAUGUUGCACUUGUUACCAAAAGUGCACUGGUAAUUGAAGGAGUAAGUCGUGCCCGCAACAAUCUUUUAAAUGGAGAUAUUCACCAUUAUGACUGGGAUUCUGGCUACACCUGCCACCAGCUAGGCUCAGGAUCCAUAUGUGUUCAGCUAGGACAGCCUUAUUGGCUUUCCUCUUGCAAGCUUCUGCUGUGGGACUGUGAUGAUCGCUCUUAUAGUUACUACAUCGAAGCCUCAGUUAAUAAUAGAGAUUGGGAGCUGAUUGUUGAUAAAACACGUGAAGCUUGCAGAUCAUGGCAAACUUUAACCUUCCCAUCAAGAGCCAUAGUUUAUUUUAAAAUAGUUGGCACAUUUAAUACUGCUAAUGAGGUUUUCCAUUGUGUUCACUUCGAGACACCUUCACAGGUGGGCUCUGAAAAUCGUCCAAGACUGAGAGGUUUUGAUCAUGCUGUUGCUCCUGUAAGGCCUCAUCAUUCAAAUAGUAGUGAAGAUGAUGAUGGAGGGACAGCAUCAGCAGCAGAAGCAGUUGCAGUUGUAACAGUAGAUGCUCCUUCAGCAGCUGGAGUUGAGGGAGGAGUUGGGGUAGGUGGAGGUGCAGCAAGUGUUGGACUAAGUAAUAGUGGUGGUUCUAGAGGUUUAUGUAGAGCAAAUGCAAGACCAGAACCAGUUGAGGAGGCUUUAGGAAGAAGGAGGGAGGAAGACCACUAUCUACUUCAGGAAGCAACUGCUGAAGAUGAAGCUAGUGCUGUGGUAAAUCCUGUUGAUCAUCAAGGAGAGAGAAACAUUGAAAAUAAAUAAAUAUACACUAGUUAAAGUUUUUUUUUUAUUACGACUUGCAUCUGUGCAAGCAAAUAUAAAUUUUUUAGAGAAUUACGAUGUGUGAUGUACUCACCUGUAUGUACUUGCAGCUUGCCAGAUUUACUCCCUCCUAGCCUCAUGGGCCCUGUUGUACCUGCUCUUAAAACUAUUUAUGGAGCCUGCCUCCACCACUUCUUUGUCAUGGUCAUUCCACUUCCUGACCACCCUGAGAUUGAAGAAAUAGCAAUACUUCCUGACACCCCUAUGGUUCAUCCAUGUCUUUAACAUCCAGUGAACUCCAUCCAUGAGGGCCAAGUGUUGGUCUGCAGGAGAUAUCAGUGCCUGGCUUGCUUGUUAUUAUAUUUUUAACUUGUGUACACACAGUUGAAAAUUUGGAUUUUCCAAUAUAAUGGCAUAAUGCUGAUGAAGGCAAUACAUUUUGACCAGAGCAUGAUUUAAGCUACGCUUGUAAUCUCCUGGACCUAGGGUAAACAUAAAAAAUGUGUUCCUUGAUCUCCCAACUGUGCUUACAUAGUUCAUUUGAAGCAUACUGCAUGGGGCCAUUGCCCCUACAGCUGAACUAUGGUAACUAAACUAAUUUAUUGUCGAACUUACGGCGUCCAUUGUCACUGCCACUGCCUCUGUGAGCAUUCUGAAAAGAUUACAAAAGUUUGUGUGUAUGUUUGUUGGUGUGUCCUCGCCAGUAGGUGGUUGUAGGGGUCAAGUCACAGCCCCUGACCCCACCUCUUCACUGGUCACUAUUAGGUCCACUCUAAGCUCCUAGAACCUUAUUGUACCUCUUGUUAGAGCUAUGUAUGGAUCCUGCCUCUUCUACUACAUUCUCCGGAUUGUUCUACUUCCUGAAAACUCUUAGGCUUAAAAAAAAUACUUCCUAACAUUCCUAUGACUGUGUGUGUGUGUGUGUACUCACCUGUUUGUGGUUUCAGGGGUCGAUUCAUAGCUUCUGGCCCCGCCUCUUCACUGAUAGCUACUAGGUCCUCUCUUUCCCUGCUCCAUGAACUUUACCUCGUCUUAAAACUGUGUGUGGUUCCUGCCUCCACUGUGUCACUUUCUUGGCUAUUCCACUUCCUAACAACUCUGUGUACUCUGUCUGUGGUCUUCUUUGCCCUUCCCCGAUCUUCAUGACUUUGCACUCGGUGGGGUUAAAUUCGAGGAGCCAGUUGCUGGACCAAGCUUCUAGCCUGUCCAGGUCUCUUUGUAGUCCCCCUGAUAAUCUUCUUCAUGACUUUGCAUACUAUACACGUCAGUGACACUGGUCUAUAGUUUAGUGCCUUGUUUCUGUCUCCUUUCUUAAAAAUGGGGACUACAUUUGCCAUCUUCCAUACCUCAGGUAGCUGCCCAGUUUCAGUGGAUGUGUUGAAAAUUGUAGUUAGUGAUACACACACAGCAUCUUUGCUCCCUCUCUAAGGACCCAUGGAGAGAUGUCCAGUCCCACUGCCUUUGAGGUAUCAAAGUCACUUAGCAGCUUCUUCACCUCCUCCUUGAUUGUGUCUAUUUCAUCUAACACUUGUUGGUAUAUCCCUUGUUUGUGUACCCCUCUGUUCUGGCCUCCCAGAGUCCUCUUUGUCUCCACUGUAAGUACUUCUUUAAAUCUCAUGUUGAGCUCCUUGCAUACUCCUUGGUCAUUUCUUGUGAGCUCCCCACUUUCUUUUCUCAGCCUGAUGACCUGGUCCUUGACUGUUGUCUUCCUCCUGAUGUGGCUAUACAACAGCUUCAGGUCAGACUUGACUUUUGAUGCUAUGUUUUUUUUACACAGUCACUGAGCCUCCCUCAUUAUCUGUGCAUACUCAUUUCUGGCUCUUCGACUAAUCUCUCUAUUUUCCUGGGUCCUUUGUCUUCUGUACUUUUUCCAUUCUCUAGUGUACUUUGUUUUUUGCCGCCCUACACCUUUGGGUAAACCAAGGGCUCAUUCUGGUCUUCCCAUUAAUUCUGUUGCCCUUGGGAACAAACCUUUCCUCUGCCUCUUUGCAUUUUGUUGUUACCUAGUCCAUCAUUUUGUUUACUGACUUUCCUACUAAUUCUCUUUCCCACUGAACUGCCUGCAGGAUGUUCCUCAUACCUGUGUAGUCUUCCCUUUUGUAGUUUGGCUGUUCCCAUCCUACUCCUGUUACCCUGUUCCCAUCCUACUCCUGUUAUCCUCUCCACUUGUAACUCUACUGUGUAUUCAGAGCUCAGAACCACAUGAUCACUAACUUCAAGGGGCCUUUCAUAUGUGAUGUCCUCAAUGUCUGAGCUACUCAUGGUGAACAUGAAGUCCAGUCUUGCUGGUUCAUCCUCCUCCUCUCUCUCUGGUAGUGUCCUAACGUGCUGAUGCAUGAGUUUUUCUAGUACCUCAUCCAUCAUCAUGGCUCUCCAUGUGUUGGGACCCCCAUGUGGCUCCAGGUUUUCCCAAUCAAUCUCCUUGUGCUUGAAAUUGCCCAUAACUAGUAACUUUGUUCUACCUGUGUGAGCUCUUCUGGCCACCUCAGCUAGUGUGUUCACCAUUGCUCUGUUGCUCUCUUCAUAUUCUUCUCUUGGCCUCCUGCAGUACUGUGGCGGGUUGUACAUCACUGCAAUGACUACCUUAUGUCCCCCAGACUGAGUUGUACCUACCAUUCCUUCCAUUUCCUCAAUUCCCCAUCAGUUUUUAAUGAGCAAUGUAACUCCUCCCCCCUUCCCUGCUCCUUCUGUCUUUCCUUAGGAUCUGAUAUCUGGGUGGGAAGAUUGUGUCUGUUAUCAUUCCAGUGAUUUUCAUUUAUGUUAUUCCAUCCACAUUCUUAUACCAAACUUUCAACUUCUUUUCUAAACCUGUGGUCUGGGGAGAAUGUUGGGGUUGGGGGAGCAGGAACCCUGGUGGGGACCUAUGGGAGUUUAUGGGGAUGGAAUUUGUGAUGAAGGGGGUGGGGGCAGAGGGUACAGUGUAUGGGUUUUGUGUGUGCACGUAUGCAUGUGCGUAUGUGCUCACCUAAUUGUGGCUGCAGGGGGUUGAGUCACAACUCCUGACCCCUCCUCUUCAGUGGUCGCUACUAGGUCCACUCUUUCCCUGCUCCAUGAGCUUUAUCAUACCUCUUCCUAAAGCUAUGUAUGGAUCCUACCUCCACUACAUCACUCUCCAGUUUGUUCCAUUUCCUGACAACUCUUCGGCUGAAGAAAAACGUCCUUACAUCCCUGUGACUCGUUUGAAUUUUCAAUUUCCAGUUGUGACCCCUUGUUACUGUGUCACAUUUCUGAAAUAGUGUCUAUUCACCUUGUCAGUUCCUCUCAGUAUUUUAUAUUUUAUCAUGUCUCCCGUGUGUGUGUGUGUGUGUGUGUGUACUCGCCUAGUUGUGGUUGCAGGGGUCGAGUCACAGCUCCUGGCCCCACGUCUUCACUGGCUGCUACUAGGUCACACUUCCUGCUCCAUGAGUUUUAUCAUCUCUUCUUAAAGCUAUGUAUGGAUCCUGUCUCCACUACAUCACUUCCCAAACUAUUCCACUUCCUGACAACUCUGUGACUGAAGAAAUACUUCCUAACAUCCCUAUGAUUCAUCUGAGCCUUCAACUUCCAAUUGUGACCCCUGUUGCUGUGUCCCAUCUCUGGAACAUCCUGUCUCUGUCGACCUUGUCAAUUCCUCGCAGUAUUUUGUGUGUGUUGUAUUGUGUUCUUGCUGUGUUUGUGUGCGUAUGUACAUGUGUACGUAUUCACCUAAUUGUACUCUCUUGACCCCGCCUCUUUACUGGUGUGUGUGUAUGUGUGUAAGAAAGAGUGAGUGAGAGUAGCAAUACACAAAUAACCCGCACUUGGAGAGAGAAGCUUACAAUGAUGUUUCGGUCCAUCCUGGACCACUUACAAAGUCACACUAGCACGUAAGAUAGGAGGAGCCAAUAUAUAUAGGUGAGCAGACAGGGACGGGACCAAGAGAGGUAGUAGUGAUAGAGGUAAAGCUGGAAAUGGAGGUAAUAAUAGUAGUGGUGGUUGUAAAAGUAGGGAGAGUGGUUUAAUGGGACAAAAUAUAGAAAGGUAGAGUGAAGGGUGGAGGGGGGCAAAAGUAGUAAGAAAGGAAGUAGUAGUAGGAGUGGGGUCAAAGGAGAAGAAUUCUGUUCCACUUCCCCACGAAGAUAAGAGGAAAUAAACAGGAACAAGAACUAUUAACCCUUUGAGGGUCCGUCCCGUAGAUCUACGGCUUUACGUUGAGGGUCCAAACCGUAGAUCUACGUCAUGAGCUCAGCUCACUCUGAUAAACUGUGAGUGGUACAUUUGGGCCUAGAUAUGAGAGAAUACAUCUAUGUGGUAUGUGUGCACCACAUAAAACAGAUCCUGCAGCACGCUGUGUAUAAUGAGAGAAAAAAACUGAAAUCAUGAUUUUUCGAUUAAAACAGCAAAUUUGCAGUGUUUUCUCGUAUGUUUUUUAUAGUUCUAUUUGCAAUUUCUUGGUCUCAUUUGAUAGAAUGGAAGACAUAUUACAGAAAUAGAGAUGAUUUUGAUUGGUUUUAGCACUGGAAAUGGCUUGAAACUGAGCUAAAAGUAGCAGAAAUGUUAAAUUUUUGCCGAUAUUCAAGAGUAAACAAACGACUUCACACGUCUAAUACACGCCAGCUGGUGGGUCUAAUAUGCAUUCACAAAUAUGGUGAUGGUAUUUAUACAAUUAUUACAGUAUUGCAUAACAGUAAAUCUUCUAUUUUUUGGUGUGAAUAAAAAUUCAUUAUGUUGAAUAAAAAAUCAAAAUGGAAUUUAUUUGUAAAGCCUCAAAACGUAACUAAUGAACAGAGGAAAUGUUAGUUUAGUUCCAGGAAUACCUACAUUGUUUAUUCUGGACCCUAUUUUGAAAUUGGAAUAUUUUGAACUUUGUGUUAAAUUGGCCAAAUUACCAAUUUCCGAUCACUUUAUUUUGUAGUUGAAACAGUUGACUUGGCGAUUUCUUGUGCUCAAUUGAUAGAAUAGAAGUAAUACUAGUGAAAUAGCUAAGAAUUUGGUUGACUAGAAUAAUGUAAUUGGCCUAAAAUGGGAGUCAAAGUCAGCAAAAUCACCGAUUCAUAAAUAUCGUUGACACAUCAAAAUUCGCAAGAGCAUAAUUUCGUCAAUUUUCCAUCAAAUUUCGUACUUUUUGUUUUAUUACCUUCACAAAAAGAUUCUCUACCAUUUCAUAAGAAAAAAUAAAAAAAAUUUUUUUUUUUAAAUUCUUGGACACUGGGGCACCACUUCAGAUUUGGGCCUUGGACCCUGAAGGGGUUAAGAAAAUAAAAGAAAAUCCAGAGGGGUAUGUAUAUAUAUGCUUGUACAUGUAUGCAUAGUGUGACCUAAGUGUAAGUAGAAGUAGCAAAAUGUAUCUGAACUCAUGCAUGUUUAUGAGACAGAAAAAAGACACCAGCAAUCUUACCAUCAUGUAAAACAAUUAUAGGCUUCCAUUUUACACUCAUUUGGCAGGACGGUAAUACCUCCCUGGGCAGUUGCUGUCUACCAACUUACUACAUAGGAGAGGUUUUUACAAUGUAAAAUGAUAGACUGAAGGCAGAGUAUGUGGAGAGGAAGAGGGAGGUUGAAAGAGUUGUGUGGGAGUGCAGAGGAAGAGCUAGUGAGAGAACAAGUGAAUCCUCUUCAGCAAAUUUUGUUGAGAAUGAAAAGCUGUUUUGAAGAGAGAGAUCAAUAAAGUGAGGAGGUUUGGAGAGCAAAUGAGCCUAAGUUUAAAAUGAGAGAGAGGAGAUGGAGAUACUGGAAAGAUGGAGAAGACAUUUUGAUGGGUUGUUGAAUGUUUGUGAUGAAGGGGAAUCAGUGAUUUCAUGCCUGGAGCAGGAUGGAAUAAACAUCAUAUAAGAAUGAGGAGGAGCCUGAUGUAGGUGUAGGAAAAGUGCAUGAGGCAGUGUGGGUAGAUAGAAAAGGGUAAAUCGUCUGGGAUAGAUGGGGUUAAGACAGAGAAGUUAAAAGCAGGUGGGGUUAUAGAGUUGGAGUGGUUGGUGUGUUUAGUAAAUACAUGCAUAAAAGAAUGGAAUGUACCAAAGGACUGGUACCUUUGUAUAAGGGAAAAGGGGACAAGAGAGCAUAUAAGUGAGCAGUAUUUAUAUAUAAUAGCAAGGAGCUGUGUGUGAUUUAGUGGGCAAAUUACAAAAGUUAGUUGGAUGAAUUUAAAAAGGGUAUAUAAAGGAAGGAAAUUAAUAAUGAAUGUAGAUUAGAGCAAGGUGAUGAGGGAAACAAAAAGUCUAAGCAAUAAAUUUAAUAUGGAAUACUGAAGAAACAGAUGUAUUUAGAUAUUUGGGAGUGGAUAUGUCAGCAGCAGGGUCUGUGAAAUAUGGCUUGAACCAUAGAUGUAGAUUAGGGACGGGAAGGAGAUGGUGUGUUGAAACAUCUGUGGAAAGAAGUAGGUUUAUCUCUGGAAGCAAAAAGAGAAUGUAUUAAACUAUAAGGGUACUAACACUUUUAUAUGGGUGUGAGGAAUGGGUUUUGAAUGUUACAGUGAAAAGUAGACUAGAAUCAGCAAUGUAAUGUUUGAGAACAAUAUAUAUUGGAUAUCAUGCAGAGUGUUGGAUAUAAAAGGCAAUGUGGGGUGACAGAAGAUAUAAUUCAGAGAGAUUGGGAGAGGUUGUUGAUGUGGUUUGGACAUGCAAAGAAGAUGGACAGGGUGUAUAAAUCUGGGGUGGAAAGUAGGAGGAGGAGGGGUUGUCCUAGGAAUGGUUGAAGGGAAGGGGUACAAGAGGUUUUUGAGUUUUUGAGGCUUGACCAUCCAGUAGGCUUGUGUGAGCAAGUUAGAUGGUUCUUAAUGAACAUGCUGGUGGGGUGUGAACAGGGUAACUUUUAUGAAGAGAUUCACUUCAGGGAAACCGGUUGGCUGGACUCAAGCCCUGAAAAUAAAGGGCAUUUAAAGUAAAAGGAGACAAGUGCAACUAAUAUGACAUUUUUAUUGUGGCAACAUUUUGCUCUCCAGGAGCUUUGUCAAAGCUCCUGGAGAGCGAAACUUUGCCACAAUAAAAAUGUCACAUUAGUUGCACUUGUGUCCUUUUAUUUUACAUGUUGUUGGUAAUUCUACCAGCUUUAUUACAUAAAGGGCAUUGCCAGCACUCUGAAAGAGGGGUAAGGAUUUUACAAUCAGAGGGAAUGAUCUGAUUGUGAUAUUAACAAGUUCUGGAAAGAUAGUAGUUAAUUGAAUGUUAGUGAAUGCUUUUUUUUUUCUUUGGGUCACCCUGCAUUGGUGGAAGAUGGCUGUGAGUUAAAAUAAUAAUGAAACACUCUCUUCAUUAGUUUGAUUGUAGAAAGGGCUUUUCCACUGUAAUGCCUUGGCUGAUGACUUAUCUCUUAUGGCUGCAUUUUUCAUCAAGAAAAGCUUAUGACAGUCUUUCAUUAACUGUUAGGCCUGUGAGGCAAACAACUAUUUUUCCUUUAAGAUUUAUUAGAAGAGAGGUAAUUCAGUGUUUGAGCAAACAGCAUUUUUUUUUUUUUUUUAGCUCUACCUGGGUCCUGCUCACCACUAAUGAAUUUGCUUCUCUUGUUCCUUUAAGUUCUGGUCAGUCCUACAUAUAAACAAUUUUGCUAUUACUUAUGCAGGCACAGACUGUUAGCCCAUAUCAACCUCACUUCAGUAUGCUAUUGAUUCCUCAUCUAACUGAGCAGCCUCACAUAGUUUAAAGUUUUCUGUUGCUAAAAAAAAAAAAAGUUAACUUUCAUGUGACACCAUUAUAUCUCUCAUUCUAUGCUGUACCCUUUUAGUUCCUGUAUUCUCAGCCUUCUCUUGGAUUGUUAAACAGCAUGAAAGUCUCUCAUAACCACUCUUUAUAAAAGCUGCCUAUCUUAGCUGAACCUGCUUUAAACUUUAGCCCAUCUUUGGGUGCUGAUAACCAGAUACUUCAUCUACAAUUGGCCCUAGUCUUAUAGCUUGACUGUGGGGACAAACUAUAUUCCUUAGCCUCUCCUGUCACACUUUCUAAUUUGUCUGCUAAUGGGCUUUUCAAGUUUUCCAGUUGAGAGCCUGUAUACAGAGACAAAAAUCCCUUCUUUGCAAGAGUGAAGAGGUACCCUUUGUCUCCUCUAUUUUGUCUGCCUCCAUGACCUUCAUAAUUCUUCCUCAUACAGAACGAUUACAGUUGUUAGUAGGACUAAUUCAUUUAAUUGUUGUGCCCAUUUAUUGCAUCCCUUUUCAAUAAUUUCUAUAUUCACUCUAGUAACAUUUCUGAAUUUAUUUACCUUUUUCAUUUGCCGCUUUUGUUGUCUUAUUUUUUCCUUCCCUCUCCGGGAGGUUCCAACAAUUCAAGUUUGCUCCUUCCCACUUUUGGGCCUGAAGGCUCCUAUGCCUACUGCCAACUUGUACUCAUUCUUUCUUGAACACUUUCAUUUACAUUCUCAUGUUAUAGCCAUGUAUACUGAUGGUUUCAAAUCUGAUUUUUUUCAGAUGGAAUAAUCCAAGGAGAUUUACUAGAGUCGGCCAGCAUUUUCAGUUAUAUGCAGUGCUCAUCAUUAUCAUACAGAAAGAGGCCAAAUCCAUCUUGUCAUUCAUUGUUUCCAACUUUCAAAGUACAGUGGACCCUCGACCAAUGAUAUUAAUCCGUUCCUGAGAGCUCAUUGUUAGUUGAAAUUAUCAUUAGUCGAGUUAAUUUUACCCAUAAGGAAUAAUGGAAAUCAAAUUAAUCCGUUUCUGACACCCCAAAGUAUUGAAAAAAAAAAUUUUUACCACAUGAAAUAUUAAUUUUAAUACACACAAACUGAAGAAGACAUGUACAAUUACAGACACUUACCUUUAUUGAAGAUCUGGUGAUGAUUGAUGAGAUGGGAGGAGGGGAGAGUGUGGAUGGUGUUAGUGUUUAGAAGGGGAAUCCCCUUCCAUUAGGACUUGAGGUGUCAAGUCCUUUUCCAGGGUUACUUCCCUUCUUCUUUUAAUGCCACUAGGACCAGCUUGAGAGUCACUGGACCUCUGUCGCACAACAUAUCUGUCCAUAGAGGCCUGUGCCUCUCGUUCCUUUAUGACAUUCCUAAAGUGUUUCACAACAUUGUCAGUGUACAGGUUGCCAACACGGCUUGCAGUAGCUGUGUCAGGGAUGAUUUUCAUCAUAAAAGGUUAUCACACUGUAUGCCAUUACGAUUCUUAAAUCUCUCAAACCAACCUUUGCUGGCCUUAAAUUCACUCACAUCACCACUAGUUGCAGGCAUUUUUCUAAUUAAAUCGUCAUGCAACUUCCUAGCCUUUUCACAUAUGAUCACUUGAGAGAUGCUAUCUCCUGCUAUCUGUUUUUCGUUUAUCCACACCAAUAACAGUCUCUCAACAUCUUCUAUCACCUGCGAUCUCAGUUUCGAAAACAUAGUUGCACCUUUGGCAAGAACAGCUUCCUUGAUUGCCUUUUUCUUGGCCACAAUAGUAGCAAUGGUUGAUUGGGGUUUUGUGUACAACCUGGUCAGCUCGGAGACACGCACUCCACUUUCAUACUUAGCAAUGAUCUCUUUCUUCAUAUCCAUAGUAAUUCUCACCCUUUUUGCUGUAGGGUUGGCACUAGAAGCUUUCUUGGGGCCCAUUGUGACUUAUUUUGCAGGUGCAAUCGCUAAAAACGCUGUGAUAAUAUGAAAUGUUCCGAUUGUAUGUUUGGAUGGGACCACGGUGGCUGGCUGGCUUGUAAACACUGGCGCGCUCAGGCCACAAGUGGAUGCGUCUCGAACAGAACGAAUCGCAUUGGUCGAGUUUUUUAGCGCUAGUCGAGGCAAAAUUUUUGCGUUAAAAUGUAUCGCUAGUUGGAUUUAACGUUAGACGAUGCCAUCGUUGGUCGAGGGUCCACUGUACAGCAUGUUACGAGCCAUCUAAUAAUUUGAGUCCAAACAUCUCAUUGUUUUUUGUAUACAACAAUGGUUACAUCAUAUUUUGAGCAAGCACAAUUUCUUUUCAUUUUUGCUGGGUCCUUGAACAUGCCAGUGCUCAGAAAAACGAAUCUAUAGACUCAGCCACUUAAUCAGCUAUUCAUAAACUACCAGUCUUCCACAAGGGUUCCUUUUCAGACUAUUUUCCAGUACUCUCUCAACAAUGAUUUAGAGUUAGAAGUCAACAAUUUUUUUAAUCAAGCCUCGGUUAGGCUCCUAGCUAUCUUCUUUCCAACAUUGUCAGUAUGAAGAACUACAGUUAUUACACUCACAUUUAUAAAUCAGACACAUGUGACUUGCACAAGGAUACCACAUGGGAUAACACCCAGUACAUCCCUGCAAAGAAAUGCCAAGUCUCACUAUCAGUUCACUAAAUCUUAAUAGCUUACCCUAUCUUCUGGAGAGCAUGCAAAAUUCACUAAUGAUUCUACACCAUUAUGUACUCAGUAUAACUGGCUGACUUGCUGAAAUUCCCACAUAUAAUGCAGAUUCACAUUGACUUUUUUUUAAGGAAACUGGUCAACUUGAAACUAUAUGAUCCAUAAAGAUUUAUUAUAUGUUUCUGAGUAAUAAUAAUAAUAAAUAUUUUAUCAACAUAUAGGAAUUCUAGUCCAGGGUUUGAGCAUUGGAAAAAUAUUUGGUGAAUUUUCUUCACAUUAUCACCAUAGAAAGUAAAGAGCUCAUUUUCCACAUGGGAAAACAUAGGUCCUGUAAAUAAAUAGAAUGUCAUUGGGUAGUAAAAAUAUGUGUUAUGCAGAUUUUGUACAGCACCAGGUAGAGAUGUUGAGGUGAUUUUCAGAAGACUGCAUUCCACGAAAGGUAUACAGUGAAGUUUUUCACAUGAAUAGUGUGCCUGACAUUCCUUACUGUCACUAUGUAUAUAAUUUCUCAUUUGUUUGCCCUUUUAAAUUAUUAAUAAGUUUAAUUUUUUUUUGUGCCAAGUUUAAUCUUUGUCUUUGAAUCUAUUUUACCUCAGUAUAUUGCAUGUGAAUGUAUAUGUAACUUGUACAUUUAAAUUUCUGUACUAUAUACAAACUUCAGUUUAUUGUACUGUAUCAAUUAGGUAUUCAGAAGUAGUUUUGUAUCUGUAGUUGUAGUUUUCUUUCUUUUGGGUCACCCUGCCUUGGUGGGAGGCAGCCAGUGUGUUAAAAAGAAGAAAAGUUGUAUCAGUUUGUUGAAAUGAGAAACUGUCUAUUACUACUGCUUUUAUAAUACAGGUAUACUUCAUCAACCUUGCUAAUAUGGUGGGUUAGGUUCCAGACCAUCACUGUAAAGCAGAUAUUAUCUUAAAGCAAAUUGCAGUCUUUUUCUUCACUUGCCAGAGCUUAUAAAAGCCCAGAAAAUGUUUACACUGUCAUUUAUUAAGUGCUCAAUAGUGCUAGGCCUAAAAAAAUGAUUCAAAAGUAAACAUAUAUAAGAAUGCUACAGUACUGUUUUGCUAACUUUAAAAUAUUUUUGUCCUUUGUUUAUGGUGACUAAGGAAUGAACAUUUUAGAAGUAAAUAUUGAAGGAAGGCUGAAUGGCAUAGUGGAGCUUCAUCGUCUGAGCCUUCACUGAAUCUUAUUCUCUUUGCUGGUGAAGAGUCUUGCCUUGAUGUUGAUGGGUGUUGAAUGGUAAAUCUACUUGCUGUUGAAGGUUAGAGUGGCUAUGGCACUUUCUUGUUAAAAGACAACAAUGAAGUUUGCAUCAUUAACUGGCAUUUCUUUUCAUGAAAGAUUUCUCUGUAGCAUAAUACAUACAGUAUACUGUUUCAUGGUAUUUUAUGCACUAUAGAAUUUCUUUAAAAAUUGGCAUCAGUCCUUUAAAGCCUGCCACUACUGUAUCAAGUAAGCCAGCGUAGUGUUCUAAAUCCUUCGUUGUCAUUUCAGCAAUGCUCACGAAGUGCAUAAAUGCUGUAAACAGCUUGGGUAACAAAAUGGUGCCAGUCAGCAUCACAGCCGAAAAUAAUAAACAUAAAUAUAAUAGACAAGCACCAUAUUAGUGAGGUAUGCCUGUAGUACCUUAUUUUGUAUUCUCUAGUGUGGAUAUUUGAUUUUUACCAGAGUUUUGUUAAUGUGGGUGGGAUUUUGCACUGACUGUAAAUUCUCUCUUACUGAGUAAUAUUUAAUAAAAAGGUAAUGAGUGAGCACACUAACCUGAUAAUUUUUUUUUAAGUGUCUUGUACACAUUCAUUUUCAUAAGAAAGGAAUAAGUUGUUGUUAUACAAUAAUGUAAGUAUUUUUAAAUCCAAGUAAAGACACAAGCAUGAAGUAAAUAUGCUAGGAAUAUUUUUUUCUUUGUGGGUAAGAGUUAUAGGCUUUCAGUAUACAGGUAAAUCAGAACUUAUAUCUCAUUAAAUAAAAAUAAUGGAGUAGCUUAAAAAUUUAGAUAGAUUAGGAGUCAUAUCUUUAGGCCAAAUUAUUUGCAAUAUGAACUUGUGAUAAAUCUUGUGAAAAAAGAUUUUGAGAUAGUUCAGUUCAGCCUAGAAAUAGAUUGAAUUGGUAAUAUAUUGAGCCUUGUUUACCUUCUGUCAAAAAACAUAUCAUUGUGAUAUUCCAAUCAUGAAAUCAUACACGUUACAGUGCAAUACCUGCAUGGAAUACAGUACAGGUUGGCCAUCAGUAAUUCAGCAUCACCAGGACCUUUAGGGUGCCGGAUUACAGAAUGGUUAGGUUAGAAUACACUUAACCCAAUGGCGAUAUUUGUACAUUGGCAAUUUCACCUACUUUAUGCCCUAUUUUUGGCCCAUUCCAUUGUUCUAGUCUACCAAACUCACAAUUAUGUUGUCAGAAAUUGGUAAUUUAGCCAGUUUCACACAAAUUUCAGAUGACAAUUUCAAAAUAUGGCCUAGAAUAAACAGUGCAGACAUUCUUAGCACUAAAAUAACAUUUUCUCUGUUCAUUAGUCACUUCUCCAGGCCCCUCUUAUACAAUGAUCCCUCGCUUUUCGUAGUUCUCGGCAAUCGUAAAUUUCGCCAAUCAUAGGGGUAUUUUCGUAUAAACUUAGACUCGCUUUUCAUAGGUUGACUAGCGAGUCGUAGUUCGUCUGGGACGCGUACUCACGGCGUGAGCCGUGGCGGCAGCCAGUCUGGCAUUGUUUACCAGUGAGCGAAGGUCCCCUCACAUGCUCCAGCGAAAUAUUUCAUAAUAUUCCAUUUAUUUUAGUGCUUGCAAGUGCUAAAUAAGCUACCAUGGCUCCAAAGAAAGCUCCUAGUGCCAAGCCUGUGGUAAAGAAGUGAGAAAUACGAUUGAAUUUAAGAAAACCAUCAUUGAACAAUAUGAAAGUGGUACAAGUGUGGCCGAACUGUCCAGGAUGUAUAAGAAACCCUACACAACCUUAUGUUCCAUAGUGGCCAAGAAAAAGGAAAUCAAGGAUGCUGUUGUUGCAAAGGGAGUAACUAUGCUGACAAAAAUGAGAUCACCAGUACUGGAAGAGGUUGAGAAGUUAUUAUUGGUGUGGAUAAAUGAGAAACAAUUAGCAGGAGAUACUCUUAUGACUUCGAUUAUUUGUGAAAAGGCUGGGCAGUUGCAUGAAGAUUUGGUAAAGAAAUUGCCUGCAAAUAGUGGUGAAGUGAGUGAAUUUAAGUCCAGCAAAGGCUGGUUUGAGAGAUUUAAGAACCGUACUGGCAUACACAGUGUGGUAAGGCAUGGUGAGGCCGCCAGUUCGGACCACAAGGCAGCUGAAAAAUAUGUUCAUGAAUUCCAGGAGUACAUAGAGGCUGAAGGACUGAAACCUGAACAAAUGUUCAAUUGUGACGAAACAGGCCUCUUUUGGAAAAAAUGCCAAAGAGGACCUUCAUUACACAAGAGGAAAAGGCAAUGCCAGGACACAAGCCUAUGAAAGACAGGCUAACGCUAAUGUUCUGUGCUAAUGCUAGUGGGGAUUUCAAAGUGAAGCCAUUACUAGUGUACAAUUCAGAAAAUCCCAGAGUGUUCAGGAAAAACAAUGUUAUGAAGAGUAAAUUGUGUGUGUUUUGGAAAUCUAAUAGUAAGGCAUGGGUCACAAGGGAAAUUUUCGUCGAGUGGUUCAAUGAAGUGUUUGGCCCUAGUGUGAAGGAGUAUCUCCUGGAAAAGAAAUUGGAUCUCAAGUGCCUGCUAGUAAUGGACAAUGCACCUGCUCAUCCUCUAAACUUGGAUGACCUAAUUUUUGAGGAGUUUGGGUUCAUCACAGUAAAGUUCUUGCCCCCGAAUACCACUCCUCUCCUCCAGCUCAUGGACCAGCAGGUCAUUGCAAACUUUAAAAACCUCUACACAAAAGCAAUGUUUCACAGGUGCUUGACUGUGACCACAGACACUCACUUGACCCUAAGGGAAUUUUGGAGAGAACACUUCAGCAUCCUCCAUUGCAUUACCCUUAUAGGUAUGGCUUGGGAGGGAGUGACUACCAGGACUUUGAACUCUGCCUGGAGAAAAUUGUGGCCAGAUUGUGUCUACAAGAGGGAUUUUGAAGGGUUUGGGACUGACCCUGAUGAGCCUAUGUCUGUUGCAAAAUCAAUUGUGGCACUGGGGAGUUCCUUGGGGUUGGAUGUGAGUUUGGAGGAUGUGGAAGAAUUGAUGGAAGACCACAACGAAGAGCUCACCACUGAGGAGCUGAAAGAGCUUCAGCAGGAAGAGCAACACAUCGCAGCUCAGAAUCUUGCUGCAGAGGAGGAGGAGGAAGAGAGAUGGAAGAAGGUGCCUUCUUCAGAAAUUAAAGAGAUUUUUACUAUGUGGGGUAAGAUGGAAAGCUUUAUGGAGAAACAUCACCCUAACAAGGUUGUUGCAAGCCAUAUUGGCAACAUGUACAGUGACAAAGUCUUGGGCCAUUUUAGGGAAGUGUUAAAGAGACGCCAGAAACAGAGCUCUCUCCACAGUUAUUUUGUGAGACAGGACUCCAUUGACUCUCAAGGUAGUCCUAGUGGCAUUAAGAAACAGAGAAGACAAGCAACCCCAGAAAAGCAAUUGGUACCUGAGGUGUUGAUGGAAGGGGAUUCCCCUUCCAAACUAUAAACAAUCCACUCUCUCCUCCUCCAGUCUCCCAUACACUAAGAAGAAUCUCCAAUAAAGGUAAGUGUUAUGCUGUUAAUGUUUCAUUCAUCAUUUCCCAUUGUAUUGUUUAUGUACUACAUGUAUAUUUCAUAUUAAAAAUUUUUUUGUUUUAAUACUUCUGGGUGUCAGGAACGGAUUAAUUGUAUUUACAUUAUUUCUUAUGGGGAAAAUUGAUUCGUAAAUCAUAAAUUUCGUUUAUAGUAACGGCUCCAGGAACGGAUUAAUUACGAAAAACGAGGGACCACUGUAUUAUGCUUGCUUUCCAUUUUGAAUUUUUAUUCAUGCAAACAAUAGAAAAUUUACUAUUAUGCAGACUACUGCAUUAUUAUAAUAAUUGUAUAAUUAAUGUAAACACAUUCAUGACUGCGUGUUAGACUGGGCAAUUGGAAACGUAUUAGAUGGUGACAUCAUUUUGUUUACUCUUGAACAUUGGCAAAAAUCAGCCAUUUCCUCUACUGUGAGUUCAAUAUUAAGGUACUUUCAGGCAUGAAACCAAUCAAAAUUAUAUCUAUUUCUUUAAUAUAUCUUCCAUUUUAACAAAUGAGACCAAAAAAAUGAGAAUACGGUAGACCGUCAUUUAACACGGUAGUUACUUUCCUGAAAAUGCCAUGCUAGGUAAAAAAAACGUGUUAGAUGAACUGAAGAACUUAUGGGAAAAAUAGGGUUAUGUUCCUCAGAGCCCCAAAAAGCCAAACAACUUUUUUUAGGCCUCCACCUCUUACCAAAAUAAAAGUGAAUAUGUAAUUGUAGUUCAUUUUUGUGAUGUAUUAUGUUGUUUUUACUGCUCAAGACUACAAAUGUAACAGAAAUAAGAGUAUUUCUUACCUUAAAUUGUGGGUGCUUGUUUGUGGAUGAUUGUGAAGAGAGUGGAAAGUUAUGCUGUGACCCUACUGGGCUGAGGUAGAUGGUAGUGGUUCUGGUAUUGAAGUCAAUGGCUGUACCGGAGUAUCUAACUUCAAGUCAGUCAUUCAGUCAGUAAGUCAAGUUAUUCAGUCACUCAAGUCAUUCAAGUCAUUUAGUAAGUCAGUCAAGUCAUUGAUGUAAAGGACACAAGUGCAACUAAUGUGACAUUUUUAUUGUGGCAACGUUUUGCUCUCCAGGAGCUUUGUCAAGCCAUUACAGCUUGUCAAAGCUCCUGAAGAGCAAAACGUUGCCACAAUAAAAAUGUCACGCUAGUUGCAUGUGUGUCCUUUUACUCUACAUAUUGUCGGUAAUUCUAUCAACUUUAUUACAAGUCAUUCAGUAAGUCAGUCAAGUCAGUAAGCUAUUCAUUUAAGUCAGUAAGUCAUUCAGUAAGUCAGUCACACAAACUUAUGUUUACCUCUUUUUAUGUGUACAAAGUAACACUUCAUUACACCACAGGUUAUCUCUUGUCUAAUAUCUUUGUUUUCUUGGUUAUUUCUAAGACUUAAAUGCUUAUACCUUUUCUUGCCACUUUUCGCAACACUGGUAUGCCUACUGGGUGUCAGGAUUGCUUGGCAGAUACAAGAUACAGUAAUUAAAAGAUCAAAACACAAUUCACAAACACAGCUAACUUGUAGCAGAGAAGAAAGACUGGACACAUAUGAAGUACGAAUGCUGGGAUGUUGGGGUGGUGUCGGGGGGGUAGCAGGGGAUGGCGGGAGGUCUUCCCCGCUGCUCCACAACAAGGCAGCUGCUUGAGGAAAAUGGGAAUUUUUUUUCCUUCCCGCAAACUGAACUGUGUUAAAUUAAUUUUACGACGUGUUACAUAAAAUUGUGCCACAAUUCUUCAAUUGUACAUCCAUACAAACCAUACAUAAAUACUACACUGUAAAGUCAGGUUUACGCCAUAAACACUGCUGCAGUUUUUUCUCGUCCACUGCGUGCUGCAGGAUUUUUUAUAUAGUGCACUUACCACACAGACCUGUUCUCUCAUAUGUGGACCCAAAUUUACCAGUCACAGCUUAUCUGAGUGAGCUGAGCUCAUGGCGACCGACAGUGGCUUCAAAGCCACCUUAUCUUUUAUGGACAAUGUAUGGUGUAUGUGCUUUACACGUUGAGAAGCAUUUCUUUUAUUUGUUGGAACCAUGGCUAGGGCUAAAAGUGAGCAGGUUAUAACAAUAAAUGGAGAAAAAGAAAUUGGAAUGACUUAUGAAGUAAGUAGCGCCACCAAACAGUAGCCGCAAGUUGGUGUGGCGGCCCUGGAAAUUUGAAGUUAUGCUGGCUAAAGUUGGUGCCGGAUUACUUAUUGCCAGUUUAGUGAUGGCCAACCUGUAUUAGCAUUCACUGGAAAAUUUAAUAGAACAGUUAGUCUCCCUAACAGGUGAUAUAUGCAGAAUUUAUACAGUUGUUAAAUUAUGUAUUAUAAAGGUUUCACUUGACAUUAGUAGGGACUAUUAGAGCAUGUGUUCUUUUGAAGACUGUUGCACUAAUUCCAUGCAUGUGAUAUUGGGAUAAAGUUAUUCACUAGCUAGAAUGUAAGUGUGUAAUUUACACUACAAUUUUCUAAACUGGACUUUCCAAAUUUUUAUUAUCGAGAAACAUUUUUAACAUCCAUGCAUUUACCCUUUUUUUUUUUUAGCCUCUUUGAUAUACCUUCGCCAAAAGACAUCUCCAUUAUGUAGCUAGCCUGGGUAUAAGAAUAACGUGAAACUCAAUUGAUGUACAUGUAAAUCAACAUUUACUGAUAAAUGCAAAGAAUGAUCCCUGAAUUUGCAUUUACAAAUUCUGUACAUUAGUAUUUUGUUGAGUAUUUAAAUGAGAUGAUUGUUAUUUCUUUAACCCUUUGAGAGUCCAUCCUGCAGUUCUACGGCUUUGAAGCCAGGGUCCAAGCUGUAGUUCUAUGCCAUAAGCUCAGCUCACUCAGAUAAGCUGUGAGCGGUAAAUUUGGGCCUAGAUAUGAGAGAAUACAUCUAUGAGGUAAAUGUGCACCACAUAAAACAAAUCCUGCAGCAUGCAGUGGAUGAUGAGAAAAAAAGACUGCGACCGUAUUUUUGGAUUAAAACAGCGACUUUGCGGUGUUUUCUUAUGUGUUUUUUACAGUUGUAUUUGCAGUUUCUUGGUCUCAUUUGAUAGAAUAGAAGAUAUAUUAUAGAAACAGAUUAUUUUGAUUGGUUUUAGUACUGAAAAUGGCUUGAAACUGAGCUCAAAGCUGAAAUGUUCGAUGUUUGCCGAUGUUCAGGAGUAAAGAAAUGACAUCACGCGUCCAAUACACAUCAGCUGCCGGGUCUAAUGUGCAUUCACGAAUGCACUGAUAUUAUUUAUACAAUUAUUACAAUACUGCAUAACAAUAAAUCUUCUAUUUUUUGGUGUGAAUAAAAAAUCAAAAUGGAGUUCAUUUGCAAUGCCUGGAAAUAUAACUAAUAAACAGAGGAAAUGUUUAAUAAACAGAGGAAAUGUUAUUUUAGUACCAGGAGUGCCUGCAUUGUUUUUUCUGGACCCUGUUUUGAAAAUGGAAUACAGGUACCAUCCGACUUACGACCGAGUUCAGUUCCGACCAACCGGUCGGAAAUUGAAAUGGACGUAAGUUGAACCUUACUACUGAAUAUCAACAUCACAUUUUUGUAAUGACUUUAUUUUAUUGUUUUAUUUUAGUAUUUCAUUUUUUACUUUACUUUUUAUGCUGUUAGUACUGUAUUUUAUACUGUAAGGUUUAGGAUAAAUACUGUGUACAACACAAACAGUUGUUUAUUUCCCAGAAAUUUGGCAUACAAAACACGGUCGUAAGUCAAAUGGUCGUAUGUCGAGCAGGUGUAUUUGAACUUUGUGUGAAAUUUGCCAAAUUGCCAAUUUCUGAUCACUGUAUUGGAUAGUUGAAAUAGUUGACUGGGCGAUUUCUUGUGCUCAGUCGAUAAAAUAGAAGUAAUACUAGCGAAAUAGCAAAGAAUUUGGUCGACUGGAAUAAUGUAAUUGGCCUAAAAUGGGAGUCAAAAGUGGGCAAAAUUGCUGAUGCGUAAAUAUUGCUGUCACGGCAAAAUUCGCAAGAGCGUAAUUUCGCCAAUUUCCCAUCAAAUUUCGUACUUUUUGUUUUAUUACCAUCAGAAAAAGUUUCUUUACCAUUUCAUAAGAAAAAAUAACAAUUUUUUUUUUUUAAAUUCUUGGACCCUGUGGACAAGUUUCAGAUUGGGGGUCUGGACCCUGAAAGGGUUAAUUUGUUUGAGAGCUGGUAUUAAUACCAUGGUAUUCAUGAGAAUUUCUUAAAGUAUACAUUACCUUUAUUUCAGAUUUUCCCAUUAGGAUGAACUCCAUUUGAGGUGGUAGCUGUAUGUAUACAUUACAGUACUGCCUGAUGGUCUUUUCUAUUUAUCUCAUAACUAUGAUCACAUCAAGCAUGUUUUAUGAAGUACUUUACCAUCACUAUUUACUAACACAGGUUGACCAUCACUAAUCCAGCAUCAUCGGGACGUGUAAAAUGUCAGAUUAGUGAUUUUCUGGAUACAGAGUGGUUAGGUUAGAAUACCUGGAGUUUACCUGGAGAGAGUUUCGGGGGUCAACGCCCCCGCGGCCCGGUCUGUGACCAGGCCUCCUGGUGGAUCAGCGCCUGAUCAACCAGGCUGUUGCUGCUGGCUGCACGCAAACCAACGUACGAGCCACAGCCCGGCUGAUCAGGAACUGACUUUAGGUGCUUGUCCAGUGCCAGCUUGAAGACUUGAAGACUUGAAUACA